AUUGAACGCUGGCGGCAGGCCUAACACAUGCAAGUCGAACGAGUGGCGGACGGGUGAGUAAUGUCUGGGAAACUGCCUGAUGGAGGGGGAUAACUACUGUAACCGGUGGCUAAUACCGCAUACCAUCAGAUGUGCCCAGAUGGGAUUAGCUAGUUGGUGGGGUAACGGCUGACCAAGGCGACGAUCCCUAGCUGGGCUGAGAGGAUGACCAGCCACACUGGAACUGAGACACGGUCCAGACUCCUACGGGAGGCAGCAGUGGGGAAUAUUGGACAAUGGGCGCAAGCCUGAUGCAGCAAUGCCGCGUGUAUGAAGAAGGCCUUCGGGUUGUAAAGUACUUUCAGCGGGGAGGCGUUACCCGCAGAAGAAGCACCGGCUAACUCCGUGCCAGCAGCCGCGGUAAUAC
rnacentral:rRNA from 1 species